rnacentral:rRNA from 1 species
AUUGAACGCUGGCGGCAGGCCUAACACAUGCAAGUCGAGCGGAUGAAGGGAGCUUGCUCCUGGAUUCAGCGGCGGACGGGUGAGUAAUGCCUAGGAAUCUGCCUGGUAGUGGGGGAUAACGUCCGGAAACGGGCGCUAAUACCGCAUACGUCCUGAGGGAGAAAGUGGGGGAUCUUCGGACCUCACGCUAUCAGAUGAGCCUAGGUCGGAUUAGCUAGUUGGUGGGGUAAAGGCCUACCAAGGCGACGAUCCGUAACUAGUCUGAGAGGAUGAUCAGUCACACUGGAACUGAGACACGGUCCAGACUCCUACGGGAGGCAGCAGUGGGGAAUAUUGGACAAUGGGCGAAAGCCUGAUCCAGCCAUGCCGCGUGUGUGAAGAAGGUCUGCGGAUUGUAAAGCACUUUAAGUUGGGAGGAAGGGCAGUAAGUUAAUACCUGGCUGUUUGGACGUUACCAACAGAAUAAGCACCGGCUAACUUCGU